CACAGUUUGUGUUUGCAGGGGAAGGGUAAAUGGUGACUCUGUUACAGCCCUGUUCUUUAUUUUUAUUUUUAGGAAGUAAAGCCAGAUAUCAGCGUUCAGGUUGAAGAGGGCAAGUUGAGCAGUGUCCAGUGGAAUGAAGCCUUUGUUAGUGCUCAAGUCUCACUUUCUGGUGCAGCUCUAAGCCUCCAUUUUAGUUUCUGUCCUUUAGGUGUCAUCUGGGUCGCCUUUGGCAACAGCUAUGGAGUUGCGGUGAUUCGGGGAAGCAGGGAGGAGAAGGGAGGGUCCGCUCAGGUUUCAGCAAUGCCACAUCACCUCGUCUCCUCUUAACCCAGGCAUACCCUGCAACGACAGUGUGGCCUCCGAGCGCAGCAAAAGCAUGUGGCCCGAGGAGCUGGGCAUUCUCUGGAGAACGCUGUCUAAGAGACGACGGCCCAGUGACAGCAGGAAUUUCCCAGCCAGGGAGGCUGCCUUCCUUCACACCAGACAUGGAUCGGCAUCCCCAGAUGUCCGAGAUAAGUAGAGGGCUGUGACCCAGAGAGGGCAUGAAAGCGGGGUGCUGGGUCGGGACUCACCGGGAGGAGUUUUUGAGUCCGCUUUGGAGACGGGGAUGUGGAAGAAGCGGCCCCUUAGGCCACUGAAUGGGAAAGUGUCACUUUUGAUCACAGUGCUGACAUGCUCAGGGCAGAGCAGUCCCGGUGUGUCUCGUGUCACUUGUCUAUUGUGCGUUCUGUGUGUUUGGCUAUCUCAUGCCUUUUUCCUUAGCCCUUUGAGGGGCCUGUCAGAAACCCAUGCAUCAUUCUUAGCAUCUGUGAUCUCUGCGUUCCUCGGCCUGGCACCGAUGCCAUAGAACUUUUGAC